GCGAGCGUUGUCCGGAAUUACUGGGCGUAAAGAGCUCGUAGGUGGUUUGUCGCGUUGUUCGUGAAAACUCACAGCUUAACUGUGGGCGUGCGGGCGAUACGGGCAGACUGGAGUACUGCAGGGGAGACUGGAAUUCCUGGUGUAGCGGUGGAAUGCGCAGAUAUCAGGAGGAACACCGGUGGCGAAGGCGGGUCUCUGGGCAGUAACUGACGCUGAGGAGCGAAAGCGUGGGGAGCGAACGGG
rnacentral:rRNA from 1 species